AUGGGGGACUUUGAUGGUGAGCAAAAAGAAUUGAUCAAGAAAUUGGUAAACUUUCGCAUGAUCGAUGGUAAAAGAACGAGAGUUCGUGCUAUUGUUUAUAAAACUUUUCACCGCCUAGCUCGAACUGAACGCGAUGUAAUAAAACAUAUGGUUGACGUCAUAGAUAAUAUAAAGCCAACAUGCGAAGUGGUCAAAGUAGGAGUCGCAGGUCAAUUGAGUUCGAUUCAAAUUGGAAAAAAAAUAGAGUUUCAUUUUUCUAUAUGCAUGUUGUACAAAAAUCAUCCUUUUCUUUACUGCUUUAUCUCCUGA
rnacentral:rRNA from 1 species